CCAUCACAUAUAGUCAACCAUCUGAACCACCCUAAUCAACUGAAUCCAAUCCACUUUCUUAACACCUUCAUUUCUAUUCUUGUUCAACCAGAUGGUAAACCUAUCUCAUCACCUCAGAGUUCCAACUUCCGGGUGCAAACCUUCAACCUUCCUGCCCAAAGGCCGGAAUCUAGAUGGCGUAGAAGGCGACCGCUAGUUUCAGCCACGAAGAGAAGCAGGCAGAGUCUUGGAACAGGAAAUCGCUGCAACAUCAAGAAGAGUCUGCCAGAAACAACAGCAGAGACUACCUUAGAAGAUUGCCCAUAAUGUAAGUUUUAUGUCAAAAUUACAUUAAUACAUACAUGUCAAGCCUGUAAAAAGAAGUAUUCAUAUUAUUUGGCAGGAGAUACGUUGCAAUCAGAAAUAUAACAUACACACCAAAUAACCAGUGGAAAGGUGUUAUAUUUCCAAAUUUUCUCUCUGAGAAGCACACAUGCUACAGCCAUGCUUACUGCUACAGAAUUCAUACUUUAUGCGUGAUUUUCACAUAGUGAGAUUAGCUGUAGCACACACGCAUGCAUAACUUCAGAAAGGUAAUGACAUUCCAUUACAGAAAGGGAGAAGGUGAAACAGGCGUCUCAGCACUCUACCCAUCUUACAGGUACCCAUAAAAAUUAAACAUUCAUCACUCAUAAGCACCAUGAGAGACCUACUUAUCUUAACACCAUUUGAGGAGAGAGAGAGAGAGAGAGAGAGAGAGAGAGAGAGAAUAAGAACCAUUUGUUCAACUACACCCAAAAUUCAGUGACAGCUACACAUAAGUAAAACAAGAGGCACGAUACAUAGUUACACAUAAUUAAAUAUGAUGCAUCAAAGAAACUACAAUUUUUCAAGAAGACUCUCUAUUGUGUUCAUUUGUUUCAAUUAUUUGCUCUUCUGGGCUAGAAAACGUGGACAAGAGCAUUAUGCCGAUUGAACUUAGUCCACAGUCUCCUCUUGUCUUAGAGCUUCUAAUGUCUGAUGUUUAUCAUUUAGAACCAAACACAGUAUAAUUCGAUUCAACCAGUAAACUUAUGUGAAAGCAACUAAAUUCCAAUU